ACUCAAAUGAAUAGACGGGGGCCCGCACAAGCAGUGGAGUAUGUGGUUUAAUUCGAAGCAACGCGAAGAACCUUACCAGGUCUUGACAUCCGACUAACGAAGCAGAGAUGCAUCAGGUGCCCUUCGGGGAAAGUCGAGACAGGUGGUGCAUGGUUGUCGUCAGCUCGUGUCGUGAGAUGUUGGGUUAAGUCCCGCAACGAGCGCAACCCUUGCCAUUAGUUGCUACGCAAGAGCACUCUAAUGGGACCGCUACCGACAAGGUGGAGGAAGGUGGGGACGACGUCAAAUCAUCAUGCCCCUUAUGACCUGGGCUACACACGUACUACAAUGGCCGUCAACAGAGGGAAGCGAACACGCGAGUGGGAGCAAACCCCCAAAAGCGGUCUCAGUUCAGAUCGCAGGCUGCAACCCGCCUGCGUGAAGUCGGAAUUGCUAGUAAUCGCGGAUCAGCAUGCCGCGGUGAAUACGUUCCCGGGCCUUGUACACACCGCCCGU
rnacentral:rRNA from 1 species